rnacentral:rRNA from 1 species
CUACGGGAGGCAGCAGUGGGGAAUUGUUCGCAAUGGGCGCAAGCCUGACGACGCAACGCCGCGUGGAGGACGAAGAUCUUCGGAUCGUAAACUCCUGUCGAGUGGGACGAACGGCCCGGGACCUAAUACGUCUCGGGAGUGACGGUACCGCGAGAGGAAGCCCCGGCUAACUCCGUGCCAGCAGCCGCGGUAAUACGGGGGGGGCAAGCGUUGUUCGGAAUUACUGGGCGUAAAGGGCUCGUAGGCGGCCAACUAAGUCAGACGUGAAAUCCCUCGGCUCAACCGGGGAACUGCGUCUGAUACUGGUUGGCUCGAAUCCGGGAGAGGGAUGCAGAAUUCCAGGUGUAGCGGUGAAAUGCGUAGAUAUCUGGAGGAAUACCGGUGGCGAAGGCGGCAUCCUGGACCGGCAUUGACGCUGAUGAGCGAAAGCCAGGGGAGCAAACGGGAUUAGAUACCCUAGUAGUCC